rnacentral:rRNA from 1 species
GUUAUAAUAAGUUUUUUAUUAAUUACCUAAAUAUAUUAUAAAUAUCAUUGGUAGACCGCACUUCUCUCUUAGUAGGACGUCGCGACCCGCUACCUUAUAAUUUAAGAACAAAUUUAUUAGAUUUGUUUAUAAUUAAAAAUUUUUUUUUUAAUAUAUAGCAGAUUAAUUUGUUUCUAAUUAAAUAGGUGGCGGUAUAAAACGAUAGUGAAGAGUCGCUAAUUUUAUUAGCAUUUAACGAGUUGCUAUUUUUCUAAUAAAUAAUAAAUUAGGCGAAUGACCUUAUUUAUUUUUAUUAAUUAGACCAAGGAGUCUAACAUGUGCGCAAGUCAUUAGGUAAUAAAACCUAAAGGCGUAACGAAAGUAAAUUAAGCUUUGCUUUAUUAGGGAGGAUGGCUAUUUAAAUAUAAAAUUAAUUUUUUAUAUUUGUAGCCCGAACUCCCGGGGCGUUUAUUACUCAAUUUGAGUUUAAGCGCACCAAGAGCGUACACGUUGGGACCCGAAAGAAGGUGAACUAUGCCUGGCCAGGAUGAAGCCAGGGGAAACCCUGGUGGAGGUCCGUAGCGAUUCUGACGUGCAAAUCGAUCGUCAGAGUUUGGUAUAGGGGCGAUAGACCAAUCGAACCUUCUAGUAGCUGGUUCCCUCCGAAGUUUCCCUCAGGAUAGCUGGUGCCAAUGAUGAUUUGAGUCUCAUCUGGUAAAGCGAAUGAUUAGAGGUCUUGGGGCCGAAACGACCUCAACCUAUUCUCAAACUUUAAAUGGAUGAGAGCCUUGGCUUGCUUAAAAGUGAAGCCAAGGAUUUGGAUCUAGGUGCCAAGUGGGCCAAUUUUGG